rnacentral:rRNA from 1 species
GAUGAACGCUAGCGGCAGGCUUAAUACAUGCAAGUCGAGGGGUAGCAAGAUUGUAGCAAUACAAUUGUUGACGACCGGCAAACGGGUGCGGAACACGUACACAACCUUCCUACAAGUGGGGAAUAGCCCAGAGAAGUUUGGAUUAAUACCCCGUAACAUAGCGAUGUGGCAUCACAUUGCUAUUAUAGCUUCGGCGCUUGUUGAUGGGUGUGCGGCUGAUUAGAUAGUUGGCGGGGUAACGGCCCACCAAGUCUACGAUCAGUAGCUGAUGUGAGCGCAUGAUCAGCCACACGGGCACUGAGACACGGGCCCGACUCCUACGGGAGGCAGCAGUAAGGAAUAUUGGACAAUGGACGCAAGUCUGAUCCAGCCAUGCCGCGUGAAGGAUUAAGGUCCUCUGGAUUGUAAACUUCUUUUAUAAGGGACGAAAAAAGGUCUUUCUAGAUCGUCUGACGGUACCUUAUGAAUAAGCACCGGCUAACUCCGUGCCAGCCGCCGCCGUAAUAC